AGUGUGUGCCUUGUGCUAAGCGCUGUGGUGGGCUGUGGAGACAUGACAGUAAAAAAGGACAGCACCUUGCCUCAGGGAGUUUACUCCUCAGCAAACACACAAGGUAAACUUCAGAAGGUGUCAAAUGCUGCGAUGAAAAUAAACAGAGGGAUAUGACAGUCAUGGAGGUGCCCUGAGGAGGUCCUUCUGAGGAGAGAACAUUUGCCUUGAGACUCCAUGUCUGUAAACUGCCGCCAGCAUGACUCUAGGUCCGGGCUUCCCGACCUUGGGCAUGCAUUUGAGCCACUUGGAGGGGGCUUGUGACGACGCACAGGUGGGCCUCAUGCCAGAGCGUCUGAUUCAGGAGAUCUGAGUGGGGCCCAGACUUGCGUGUUUAUGAAGUUCCCAGGUGAUGCCGACGCCGCCAGUCCUUGGACCACUUUGAGAAUCAUGCUCUAAGCAGGUUACUGAUUCUCUGAGUCUUUUCUUCACCUGUGAAAUUGCCCUUCUUUCCUGGUUGAUGUUACCAUCAAAUGAGAUAAAGCCCUUUGUAAAGAAUAAAAAAGACACACAGGGGGAAUGAUCAACUUGAUGUUUAAUAAUCACUGCACCCGUGUGUUUCUCACAACCUACAAGGAAUGUGCGCACGUUAACGCUGCAGCGGGUGCCUUAGGAGCGUAAGUCUGGCUGACUCCCGCACGACGUGCAUGCUUGAGCCCAGCGGUGCCGCAGGGGACGGACGCCUGCCUGGCCCUGCCCCGGGGGAGCCUGGGAUUCGCUCCUGCUGUUCACUCCACAGACACAGGCUGGAUGACCCCCAGCAUCUGUGGUUUUUGUUACCCCUCAUCUCCCCCCACGCCUCCCCAAGGAAAAGUCGUCCCGUGAGUCACCCGGAGGCCCGGGAGGAGGCCACGGCUGCUCGGCCGGCAGCUGGCCACUGAGGGGCAGGAGGGGUGGUGCUGCCUCCUUGGGCUUUGAAGAGAAACUCCAUAGAUUCACAGACUCCCAGAACCUCGGCCUCUGGAACGUGUGCAUAUGAUAUACACUUGGUGUGUACAUUUUUUAUUUGUAUUCACUCACAGGGUCAGCAAAUAUUUGUUGAAUAUCUGCUACGAAGCAGCCUCUGAGGAUACAGCCGUGACAAAAUAAAGUGCCCCUUUCAUGGA